CAUUUCAUUUUCCGCCACUCCAUUUCAUUUCGGUUUUCUCCAGUCCACUUCAUCUGAUCGUCUUGCACUUUACUCCAUCCCAUUUCCCACCCCUCCACUCUUUUUCAUUCCCCUCUUUAACUCACAAUUUAUUUUCCUCCACUCUGCUUCAUUUCAUUGAACUCUAUUCUGUUUAUUUCAUUUCCCACCACACCACUCCAUUUCAUUUCCCACCACUACGUGCAGUUUUUGUCUACUGCACUCCAUAAAAUUUAGCCCCCUCACUUCUACUGUUUCAUUGUACCCAGUCCUCGACAAAUAAUAUUUUUC
rnacentral:lncRNA from 1 species